AUUGAACGCAGGCGGCAGGCUUAACACAUGCAAGUCGAGCGGAGCGAGGGUGCUUGCACCUUAGCUUAGCGGCGGACGGGUGAGUAAUGCUUAGGAAUCUGCCUAUUAGUGGGGGACAACAUUCCGAAAGGGAUGCUAAUACCGCAUACGCCCUACGGGGGAAGGCGGGGGGCUUCGGAACCUGCGGCUAAAGAUUGGCCUCAAGUCGGAUUAGCUAGUUGGGGGGGUAAAGGCCUACCAAGGCGACGAUCUGUAGCGGGUCUGAGAGGAUGAUCCGCCACACUGGGACUGAGACACGGCCCAGACUCCUACGGGAGGCAGCAGUGGGGAAUAUUGGACAAUGGGCGGAAGCCUGAUCCAGCCAUGCCGCGUGUGUGAAGAAGGCCUUUUGGUUGUAAAGCACUUUAAGCGAGGAGGAGGCUACUAGUAUUAAUACUACUGGAUAGUGGACGUUACUCGCAGAAUAAGCACCGGCUAACUCUGUGCCAGCCGCCGCGGUAA
rnacentral:rRNA from 1 species